rnacentral:rRNA from 1 species
GACGAACGCUGGCGGCGUGCUUAACACAUGCAAGUCGCACGGCCCGCAAGGGCAGUGGCGGACGGGUGCGUAACACGUGAGGAAUGUAUCCUUCGGUGGGGGAUAGCCGGCCCAACGGCCGGGUAAUACCGCAUACGCAGCUCGGGUGGCAUCACCUGGGUUGGAAAGCAGCAAUGCACCGAUGGAGCACCUCGCGGCCUAUCAGCUUGUUGGUGAGGUAAUGGCUCACCAAGGCGACGACGGGUAGCUGGUCUGAGAGGAUGAUCAGCCACAUUGGGACUGAGACACGGCCCAGACUCCUACGGGAGGCAGCAGUGGGGAAUAUUGCGCAAUGGGCGAAAGCCUGACGCAGCGACGCCGCGUGCGGGAUGAAGGCCUUCGGGUGUAAACCGCUGUCGGGAGGGACGAAAUCAAUGACGGUACCUCCAAAGGGAAGCACCGGGCUAAACUCUGUGCCAGCAGCCGCAGU